UACAAUGUUUGGCUCUUCGUCUUAUUUAAAAAUUUUCUAUGAUUACUAUUACUAUUAUUAUUAUUAGAUGACAAAAUAUGAACAAUACUUUAUGUGUGACUAAUUUUUUUAAAAAAAAAUUAAAUAAGACGGACCAUCAAACGUUGGACACAGAAACGUA
rnacentral:pre_miRNA from 1 species